CUCCCGACCUCAGGUGAUCUGCCCACCUUGGCCUCCCAAAGUUCUGGGAUUACAGGCUGGUUUCACUUCUUAAAAGAUUUUGACUACUUCUGAUAGGGACAGGAAGCAGAGAAAUUCUAGGCAGAAAAGGGUGGGGUCUCUGGCGAGGGCCCCAUCCUCAAGCCUGGAACCACAGCCCAAAGUGAGAACUUUACAUGCCCGUUUUCCUGCUCGAAUGUUGCCUUUUCCAAAGCCACACCUGGACUGCCCUGCACUCCAUCCUGGUACCCAUAAAAACUCCAAGCUCCACUGGCAGAGAGCAGAGAAGGGGAGAAGAGAGGAAGUGGCUGAAUGUUGGAGAGAAGCAGUUUGACUUCAGAGGGACAGCUUGAUGGUGGGACUUCAGGGGAAGAAUACCUUCCCACUCCAUCCCCUUUCCAACUCCUCUUCCCACUAAGAGCCACUUCCAUAGGCAAUAAAAUCCCCCACAUUUGCUAUCCUUCAAUUCAUUCAUGUGACCUGAUUUUUCCUGGAUGCUGAACAAGAGCUCAAGAUACAGAAGGCUGUCACGCUGACCCUCUACCCUUGCAAAAAGGCAGAGCGUCCACUAAGCUGUUAAUCAUUUAAGCCAUCUGUGGAUGAUAAAGCUGAAAGAGCACUGCCUGUAACACUCCUUCUGGGGCUUUGGGGAUAGUGGGUACUCUCCCAUAGAUGCUGCCAUGGGCCCCGCACAGCAUUUUGCUCCUGACAGUGCCCAGAAGCACUUGCCCUGGCUCCUUCCUGCACAAGCUCAGCUGCACUGCUCCUCUCACAAGGGGUGGAAUGCAGUGGAUCCCAGUGAGUGAAGCCUCUGAAGCCACUGGCUAGCUCCAGCACCCACAUUCUAGUUCCCACCCAUGAAGGGGUCCAGGAAAAUUUCCUGUUUCACUUCUGUUUUAUCCCCACUAGUAAACUGUAGCCCUUCAGGGAUCACACCUGAACACCUGUUAUGUUUACCAACACCCCUUUUUAUGACUUAUUCUCAUCUCCAUAUUUUUUCUCCCCAGCAUAGUGAAAUGGCCAAAAACUCUACUCAUCAUUUUAGUGUCUUUAUUCCUCUGCUUCUUAGUCUUUUUUCCUAAACAACUUACAAAUAGCCUAAUCCCUCAAUAGGAAGACUGGCACACAGUGUGGCUCUCAUCUUAAUAUCCCCAUUUCACUAUCCAGGAUUUGGGUUCCUCAAGAUUGGGUUGCCUUGAUUGGUCCAGACUCCAGCCUUCGUUUCCCCACUUUCGUGAUACAUGGAGAGCGCUGCUUAGCUGCUGAUUCUUUGUUGGGUUCUUCUCCAUUUUCUGGCAGGCACUUAUCUCCAUGAUAGACAUCAAAGUGGCAAUGACCAAUAGGAAAAGCCUCAUGCAGUUCCUCACAAGACUGUGGCCUUUAACUCUUGGUUAUUCAGUAGCUCCCUAAUACCUGCAAACAAAUGUUACUUUCAUUUCAUUCAGCUUUUCUAGUUGUUGCUCUUGGAAGUAUUGGUAUUAAUAGACAGAAAUGAGAGUCCUGGGGCCACUUCUUGUAAGAAGUAAAAGUUUCAGGCAGGUGUUCAUAGCAACCAAUGAAAUAAGCAGAGGUGCUGUAGAGAACUCUGGAAAGUUCCCAGAAGGGCAGUCCUUACCAUCAAUAUCAUGAGCUGACCCUUGGCUGCAAUUGAAGAGGCUGCUGCAUCUCAGCAGAUCAGAAUCAUCUGUAAUAUCUUAUUUGAAGAGAUGAAAUGACUACAUGCUUUAUCCAGCAUCACUCCCAAGAAUGUGAAGGAGACCGCUCUUUAAUACAUCACGGAGAGACAGCUUCUUGAGCAUGAGCCAGAAAUGAGUUCCUCAUAAAAGAUCCAGGUCAGAGCAUAAGCACUGGGCCAGUGUAGCUCCAAUGUCACUGGUGUGCUGCGUCCUGCUCUUACCAGCUCAUGAAAACCUCUUGUGUGUAUCUUUUCUCAACUCUGUGUUCAGUAACAUCACAUUAGCACCAUGAAAUUGGCCAUGAUGGGAAUAUUUACACCAUGGAAAUCAGCAAGCACUAUAAAUCAGAGCCUUGUUUUACUCAGAGAGCUGAUUAUAAAACAUUAGCCAGCAUAUUACCACCCAGAGGAGGUGAAUGGCAGAACACUAGGGCCAGAUUUCAAACCCUGUAUUAGGCUUGUAUGCUGAGGGCUGACUCAGUAACAGGCAUCAUGUCAAACUCUUUGCACGUGUUCCAUCAUUUAAUCCUCACAAUAAAACUGUGAGAUCAGAUGAUGGAGAGUAGGAGAUUUUGUGUAACCUGCUUAAGACCGCAGAGCAACCUAGGUCAGUCUGGUCCUCACAUCUUUGUUCUUAACUACUGCACUAAACAUUCUCCCUGCAGCUGCACAAAAUGGGAGGACAAACCCUAGACUAAAUGGAUUGGGAGGUUUUUAGUUACUGAGGGCAGAAAACAUAGUAUGGCAGAGUCCAAGAACUGGUGUUGGAACUGAGCACAUAGCAAGUCUACAUAUGACAAUGCAAACAGACCCUGAGGCAGGGCCUACAGGUUCCCAGUGAGCAGAAAAGCAAACUCAAAUAAGCUGGGAGGCAGUAGCCAGUCUUGGAUGCAUCUGUGGCUGAUGGGCAUAGUGCAAUGACACAGGAAACUAGAAUCAGCAAUAUGACAUGGCCACAUGCCAGCAGUAGCAGGAACCUGCCCGUGGGGCUUGGCGGCAGUUCUCUGCACUCACAGUGAGUGAUUUCCAAGAGCUAUGCAUAUCUGUCAAAGGAAUUUAGGUUCUAGGUGGGUUUUUCAGUCUGGGACUUGGUGAUGAUCCAGAGUUCCUGCUUUCAGGAAGAGGCAAUUUGAUCAGAAUAGAACUAGCAGAACAGAACUCAGGAUUAUACAAAGAUUCUGCAGUGUAGAGGGGUAGAGGUUCUUAGCUACGGAGAUGUCCCUGCCAAGACCUAAAAGCUGGGAGAGAAGGGACACCCAGAAUACUGAGAACUAAGCAGGCCUGGAACAAUGCCAAGGCAGGAUACAGGUUAUCCAUAGUGUGUAAAAUCUACAUGUUUUGGAGCAUAUUUUUAUUCUUAAAAAAUAGUGCUACAGAUUAUGGUGGAUAAUGCAGGUGCCCCACCACAUCCCCUAGCUGCCGUGAAUGUUGACUGCUGGAUAGUAUUCCAUCUACCUUGCUUCUUGCUUCUCUCAUUCUUCUUUUCUUAAGAGAAGCACUUCAACAAGAAUUCUUCUCAGGCUCUGCUUUUGGGGAAAGCAACCUAAGACACAGGGAAUUUCAGCUCCUUGAAUGCUCUUCGUCAAAGAACUAUUCUCCUCUCUCUGAGAAGGUGAUCCUCCUCAACCACAGAGGCAGUUUCAGGAAGAGUGCCCAUGGAGGCUUGAAAAGGAGUGUCACGUCUAGGCAGCCAGAGCACACAUGUUGCUAUCUGGACAAUCAAUGAACUGUUCAUGAUGCUCUCUCUGGCCACCUUCCAGACAGGAAGAAAGAGCAGAGGAUCACUGUGAGAGGAAUUUGAGGAUCAAAUCCUGAAGUGGUACAUGUCACUACUGUUCAUAGUCUCUUUGCUGGAACUUGGUCCUAUGGCCCUACUGGCAGAGAGGAAGGCUAUGAAACCCAGUCUAGGCCUGCGCCUAGAAGAAGAAGAAGAAGAAACACCUUUUGAAGAACAGAGAGCAGUCUCUGUCAUACCAGGAGUACCUGUCACAUACUUGUAGAACAAAAAUCAGUAACAUUUUAAUUAUUGAAACAAUGUAACAACUUUAAACACAGUUUCAUAACUAGGAGUGAAUCACCCAUAAUCUCAUACCCGGAACAAAAUAUCUGUUAGUAUGAUGCACCUUUACAUAGCUGUAAUCUUAAAGGGCAUGUACUUCCUUCUUUGCUUUCCUUUUUUUUUUUCUUCAUCCUUUCCCUCUCUCCCUCUCUCCCUCUCUCCCUUUCUCCCUUCCUUCUUUCUUUUCUUCCUUUCUUUCUGAUUUUCUAACUUCCUUCUUUAAACAUUCCUUGAUCGUCUGUGGGUCUGGACAGCAACAUGGAGAUCAAUUAGGCGCAGCAUUUUAAAUUUGCCCUCAAGAAGUUCCACUAGUGUAAGAGUAGGCAAGUAACCAAUUAUUACAAUAGUGGGACAAGCGCUGUGAUAGAAAUAAAUACAGAGUACUGUGGCAGUCCUUACCCAGAAAAAGAUAUCUAGGGUAGAUGGUAUCUGAACUGAGAAUUAAAGAAUAAAUAGAAGAUAGCAUGGCAAAAAAAGUUCAAGAGUGUUCCAUUCUUUGAGAAUAGGGCAUUGAGAUAGAACCUGUAGACAUGAGAUAGAACUGUGUGCAUCCUGGAAAUUGCACAUGGUUCAGAUUGAUUGGGAAAUAGAGUGUGGAUGGGAAGUGAUGAAAGCUGAGUCAGUAGAGUUCGAUGGGGGUCAAAUUGUGAAAGAGUGUGAGCUCUGCUAAGGAGAUGAUAUUUUAGCUUAAAUACCAGAAGAGCCAUUGAAUUAUUUUAAGCAUAGGAGUGAUCUAAUCGGAACUCUGCUUGAGAAAGAUAACCCUGGUUGCUGUGUGAAAAAAUAUACCAGAGGCAAACAAAGUUGAAGCCAGGAGACCAGUUAAAAGACAAAAUUCAUAAUUUAUAUGAGAUAUGAUGAUAGUUUGACUUAGGCUGUGAUUGACAUUGCAGAGUAACAUAUCGCAUUCAAGAGAUGUUUGGAUGAUGAAACCAAGAGGGCUUGGAAAUUGAUUGGAUAUGAGGCAUUAGAGGAAUAUGUUAGGGCUAGAUCCCAGGAUUCUGGUUUAGAUAAUUGGAUAGACAAUUAAAGCAGAAACUAUUGAAGAAGGGGAGAAGAUAAAGAGUUUUGAUUUUCAUUUCAAUUCUAAGGUAUUCUUGGAAAUAUAAGUAGAGGAUGCUGAUGGGGGUUGGUUAUAAAGCAAAUUCAAGAGUGAGACUUCUGGAGUUAAGAUACAUAAUCGGAUCUGUAAGAAUGAAAGAAAGAAGUUGUUCAGGGACUAUGUGUACAGUAUGAAGACCAACAUAUAAAUGAAAUAUAAAAGAACAAAAGCUGACAAUGGAGUCUGUGAAAGAGCAAACAAAAAAAUGAGGAAGAGAACAGAGCAUGAAGUCACAGAAACCAAGGGAAGAAAAUUUUAGAUGCCGAUCAAAGAUCAAGGAAAAUAAAGAUAAAAAUGUGUCAAUUAGAUUUGGUAUUAAAGAAAGCAUUAGUAUCUUUUUGAAUACAAUUUUAUGGCUGCAUGGCAAAGAAUCAGAUGACUGGAAUCAGGAAGUGAAUAGAAAGUGAGAAAUGAAAAGGGCUCUCGAUAAGGUUUCCCUUAUUGAGAUAGGAGGUAAGCUCUAAUGUUUAUUUGAAGUUUUUUUUUUUCUUCCAAAGCUGGGAAAGAUUUAAUAAAGUAUGAAUGCUUUUAAGGAAAAGUUUGUAGACAGAGAUUUUUUGACAAUAGUAGAGCAAAUCAUGGCGAAAUAAUUGAUAGGAUGAGGUCCCAAGAAAGCAAGAACACUCCUUGAGGAAGAAGCUUUCCAUUUUAACAGGCAGUAACAAAGAGCAAUGAAUCAGGAUGAGUCUACGUUUGUCAGUUUAGAGUGGAAAUUGUUGGUAGAGCUCAUGGGACAACUCCUAUUUUACUUGUGACAAAAGCUUAACUGCUGAGAGCAAACAGGGUGGUGGGAUCAGCUAUUAUUUUUAAAUGGAGAAAUUUAAAAAUCACAAUUGCGAAGUAAAAUCUUUCAAGAAAGAUAGAAGAGGAAUACUGCUUAGUGCUGUGCGCCUCUUUGAAGUCAGAGUUGAUGCAGUGACCACCAUGCCAAGGGCUGCUUCGGGGCUUUCUCCCACAGCGCUCAUUGAGCUAUGUGAGAAGGCGAAGAUGGAAAAUAGGUGAAUGACAGCACACAUAUCACACGAGUUUGGCAAGAGGAUAAGUGAGGCAAGGGUAGCAGCAAGAGAGUGAAGAAAAUGCUCAGCCAGAAAACCUAAGCUGACUAUGAAAGAAGGAAAACAGUUCCACAGACUGGAGAGUUGCAAGAGAUACAGAUUAAGCAACAGUAAUUAACUGAAGAAGAAUUAAUUAACUGAAAGAAGUAAUUAACUUCUUUCUUAGAAGAAGAAGAAAAAACGGUAAUAUCCUGAGCAUGUAUGUUUUACUUUACUAUGACAUAAAGAGUCCACGGAGAUCUAAAUAAAUAUUUGUUGAAUGAUGAA